UCAAGUGUCAUCUGUCCCUAG
rnacentral:miRNA from 1 species